GUCCCUCCUCCCCUGCCUGGGUCUGGCUCAGGGCAGGUUUGGCACCGGGUUUGCCAGCAAAAGGGCUUUGGCUCGGUUUCAGCUUCCCCCCUCUUCUGUCCUCUGCCUAGUGUUGGCUCGGGAAAGAAAAAAAAAAUCUCCUGGGGCUGCUCUAGGAAAGUCAGCUGAGUCUUCUCAAGAGACGGAGCGGCCGGAGCUGUGAGGAGCUCCUACCAAAUUUCACCACCACUGCUGCAUUCUCACUGUCAUUUCCAGUCAAGGGUGAGCUCCAAAAUCAAGGACAGGAAUUUAUGUUUAAAGUCCUUCUAUAAAUCAAGGGCCAAGAGGGGGCAGAGCCUGAGGAC